CGCCCAAUAGCUAGCUCGCCUCCACAAAACCAAAACUACACUAUUUAUACCCCCUAAUACACUUCCACACACAAACAAACCAUUUUUCCCCCUCAGUACGGGCGACGGAAAAG
rnacentral:rRNA from 1 species